GACGAACGCUGGCGGCGUGCCUAAUACAUGCAAGUAGAACGCUGAAGAGAGGAGCUUGCUCUUCUUGGCUGAGUUGCGAACGGGUGAGUAACGCGUAGGUAACCUGCCUUGUAGCGGGGGAUAACUAUUGGAAACGAUAGCUAAUACCGCAUAACAAUGGAUGACCCAUGUCAUUUAUUUGAAAGGGGCAAAUGCUCCACUACAAGAUGGACCUGCGUUGUAUUAGCUAGUAGGUGAGGUAACGGCUCACCUAGGCGACGAUACAUAGCCGACCUGAGAGGGUGAUCGGCCACACUGGGACUGAGACACGGCCCAGACUCCUACGGGAGGCAGCAGGAGGGAAUCUUCGGAAAUGGGGGCAACCCUGACCGAGCAACGCCGCGUGAGGGAAGAAGGGUGUCGGAUCGGAAAGCUCGGUUGUAAGUCAAGAACGAGUGUGAGAGUGGAAAGUUCACACUGUGACGGUAGCUUACCAGAAAGGGACGGCUAACUACGUG
rnacentral:rRNA from 1 species